AACGCUGGCGGCAUGCUUAACACAUGCAAGUCUAACGGUUUUUUCGAAAAGUAAAAACAGUGACGGACGGGUGAGUAACAUGUAAGAAUCUACGUUUAGGCAGGGGACAACAGUUGGAAACGUCUGCUAAUACCCUAUAUCGCUACUAAGUGAAAGAAUUUUCGCCUAGACAUGAGCUUGCACCUGAUUAGCUUGUUGGUAAGGUAAAGGCUUACCAAGGCUUUGAUCAGUAGCUGUUUUGAGAAGAUGACCAGCCACACGGGAAUUGAGAACGGGACCGACUCCUACGGGAGGCAGCAGUGAGGAAUUUUCCGCAAUGAGUGAAAGCUUGACGGAGCAAUGCCGCGUGGAGGAAGAAGGCCCUAGGGUUGUAAUCUCCUUUUCUCAUUGAAGAAAUUUUGACAUUAUUUGAGGAAUAAGCAUCGGCUAAUUUCGUGCCAGCAGCCGCGGUAAUACGAGAGAUGCAAGCGUUAUCCGGAAUUAUUGGGCGUAAAGAGUUUGUAGGUUGUUAAAUAUGUUUAAUGUUAAAUAUUAGAGCUCAACUUUGGAAUUGCAUUAAAAACUAUUAGACUUGAGUAUGAUAGAGGUAAAGGGAAUUUCCAGUGUAGUGGUGAAAUACGUAGAUAUUGGAAAGAACACCAAAGGCGAAAGCACUUUACUAGGUUAAUACUGACACUGAGAAACGAAAGCUAAGGUAUCAAAAAGGAUUAGAUACCCUUGUAGUCUUAGCCGUAAACAAUGGAUACUAAGUGGUGCAUUUUUGUGCUACUGUAGCUAACGCGUUAAGUAUCCCGCCUGGGGAGUACGCUUGCAAAAGUGAAACUCAAAGGAAUUGACGGGGGCCCGCACAAGCAGUGGAGCAUGUGGUUUAAUUCGAUGCAACGCGAAGAACCUUACCAGGGUUUGACAUGCUAGGAAAUCUUUUGAAAGAUAGAUGUGCCGUAAGGAACCUAGACACAGGUGGUGCAUGGCUGUCGUCAGCUCGUGUCGUGAGAUGUUAGGUUAAGUCCGCCAACGAGCGCAACCCUCUUCUUUUGUUAAUUAUUUCUCUAAAGAUACUGCCAAUUAUAAGUUGGAGGAAGGUGAGGACGACGUCAAGUCAUCAUGCCCUUUAUAUCCUGGGCUACACACGUGCUACAAUGGGUAAGACAAUGAGUCGCAAGUCUGUGAAGACAAGCUAAUCUCUUAAACUUAUCCUUAGUUCGGACUAUAGGCUGCAACUCGCCUAUACGAAGUUGGAAUUGCUAGUAAUCGCCGGUCAGCAGUACGGCGGUGAAUCCGUUCCCGGGCCUUGUACACACCGCCCGUCACACUACGAGAGAAGGUCAUGCCUAAUGAUGUUAUCUUAACCCUCGGGAAACAAAUAUCUAAGGCCGGGUUUUUGAUCUGAGUGAAGUCGUAACAAGGUAGCCGUACU
rnacentral:rRNA from 1 species